rnacentral:rRNA from 1 species
GAUGAACGCUAGCGGCAGGCUUAACACAUGCAAGUCGAGGGGUAUAGGUUUUCGGACCUAGAGACCGGCGCACGGGUGCGUAACGCGUAUGCAAUCUACCUUUCACAGAGGGAUAGCCCAGAGAAAUUUGGAUUAAUACCUCAUAGUAUGUAUGAAUGGCAUCAUUUAUACAUUAAAGUCACAACGGUGAAAGAUGAGCAUGCGUCCCAUUAGCUAGUUGGUAUGGUAACGGCAUACCAAGGCUACGAUGGGUAGGGGUCCUGAGAGGGAGAUCCCCCACACUGGUACUGAGACACGGACCAGACUCCUACGGGAGGCAGCAGUGAGGAAUAUUGGUCAAUGGGCGCAAGCCUGAACCAGCCAUGCCGCGUGCAGGAUGACGGUCCUAUGGAUUGUAAACUGCUUUUGUACGGGAAGAAACACUCCUACGUGUAGGAACUUGACGGUACCGUAAGAAUAAGGAUCGGCUAACUCCGUGCCAGCCGCCGCCGUAAGAC